CCUACGGGAGGCAGCAGUAGGGAAUCUUCGGCAAUGGGCGAAAGCCUGACCGAGCAACGCCGCGUGAAUGAAGAAGGCCUUCGGGUUGUAAAAUUCUGUUAUAAGGGAAGAAAGGUGAUAGGAGGAAAUGACUAUCAAUUGACGGUACCUUAUGAGAAAGCCACGGCUAACUACGUGCCAGCAGCCGCGGUAAUACGUAGGUGGCAAGCGUUAUCCGGAAUUAUUGGGCGUAAAGAGCGCGCAGGUGGUUAAUUAAGUCUGAUGUGAAAGCCCACGGCUUAACCGUGGAGGGUCAUUGGAAACUGGUUGACUUGAGUGCAGAAGAGGGAAGUGGAAUUCCAUGUGUAGCGGUGAAAUGCGUAGAGAUAUGGAGGAACACCAGUGGCGAAGGCGGCUUCCUGGUCUGCAACUGACACUGAGGCGCGAAAGCGUGGGGAGCAAACAGGAUUAGAUACCCUGGUAGU
rnacentral:rRNA from 1 species